AAUAAACUGUUAACACUUCCAUUUUUGAAAGCAUUCUUAGUUUACAGCAUUUUUUUCACACAUGCCUAAAACUUUUGCACAGUACUGUAUAUAUCUUUUUUUUUUUUUGUAAAUGUAAAAGGUUUGCAAAGUUCCAAAGCCCAAAGCACACGCCAGAGGGAGCAACUCUUACCCCACACACACACCAGAGGGAGCAACUCUCUCCCACAGAAACCCCUUUAGUACACGCCCCCUUUUCUCAGCUGCUUGAAGCGCCCCGUUUUGGUUUCCUUUGUUACAAGAUGACCCAAUCUCGUAACACAAUCUUUACUGCCAAUAACUGACCAAUCAGAGCACACUGGGCUCAUCGGGAGGAGGGGGCUUAAAGACACUGGAGUUCUGUCUGGAGGGCAGUUAGUCACAGAGAUGUACAGUACGAGAAAAAUAAUGUUACAGUUAGUCGCCAAAAACACAAUUAGGAAAGAUUGAAAUUGAGCAUAAUAGGUCCUCUUUAAGUUUUCCUUUUGGGGCUGUGACUGCAAAGCCUGCACAUACACUGUAACCUCAGUUUUAGCACUGGUAGCAAACACGUAGGCAUUGCGUUAGCUUAGGGUAGUGGAUGGGAGAUUAGCACUGGUAGCAAACACGUAGGCAUUGCGUUAGCUUAGGGUAGUGGAUGGGAGAUUAGCACUGGUAGCAAACACGUAGGCAUUGCGUUAGCUUAGGGUAGUGGAUGGGAGAUUAGCACUGGUAGCAAACACGUAGGCAUUGCGUUAGCUUAGGGUAGUGGAUGGGAGAGCGGAGGGUUUGGAGACCCAUAUUAGUUAUGCAGUGCUGGACGCUGUUCCCAUUCUCAUGGUGCUGUUGACCUUUCAGUCAGCAGUGCAGUCUUUACUGGUUCCUUAGACUGGUGUAUACGUUGACCUUUCAGUCAGGCAGUGCAGUCUUUACUAGUUCAUCAGACUGGUGUAUACGUUUACAGGGCUACUGUUGCCCACUAAGGCAAGCCUACUGAGACACACUACUCAAAUCAUAAUUACUCAAAUUAUAAUUACUCUAAUCAAGUUUUUAUGCAUUCAGGUCUUAAUAGGUGCAGGUUUCACAUCACUGUUGUGCUUUGACAAUAUUGUAUUGUAUUACGGUCAUGCUAAUAAAACCUUGUUGAAUUGAA